AGAGUUUGAUCCUGGCUCAGGAUGAACGCUGGCGGUAUGCCUAACACAUGCAAGUCGAACGAAGCUUUCGGGCUUAGUGGCGGACGGGUGAGUAACACGUGAGAACCUGCCUUCAGGAUGGGGACAACAGUUGGAAACGACUGCUAAUACCCGAUGUGCCGAGAGGUGAAAGAUUUAUCGCCUGAAGAUGGGCUCGCGUCUGAUUAGCUAGUUGGUAGUGUAAGGGACUACCAAGGCGACGAUCAGUAGCUGGUCUGAGAGGAUGAGCAGCCACACUGGGACUGAGACACGGCCCAGACUCCUACGGGAGGCAGCAGUGGGGAAUUUUCCGCAAUGGGCGAAAGCCUGACGGAGCAAUACCGCGUGAGGGAGGAAGGUCUUUGGAUUGUAAACCUCUUUUCUCAGGGAAGAAGAUCUGACGGUACCUGAGGAAUAAGCAUCGGCUAACUCCGUGCCAGCAGCCGCGGUAAUACGGGGGAUGCAAGCGUUAUCCGGAAUUAUUGGGCGUAAAGCGUCCGUAGGUGGUUGUUCAAGUCUGUUGUUAAAGAGUGGAGCUUAACUCCAUAAAGGCGAUGGAAACUGAAUGACUAGAGUUCGGUAGGGGUAGCGGGAAUUCCCAGUGUAGCGGUGAAAUGCGUAGAUAUUGGGAAGAACAUCGGUGGCGAAGGCGCGCUACUGGGCCGAAACUGACACUGAGGGACGAAAGCUAGGGUAGCGAAAGGGAUUAGAUACCCCUGUAGUCCUAGCCGUAAACGAUGGAUACUAGGCGUGGCUUGUAUCGACCCGAGCCGUGCCGAA
rnacentral:rRNA from 1 species